rnacentral:lncRNA from 1 species
CCACCACUGGCCCCUCUUAAUUCUCAUGUCCUUUUCACAUUUCAAAACCAAUUAUGCCUUCCCAACAGUCUCCCAAAGCCUUAACUCAUUCCAACAUUAACUCAAAAGUCCAAGUCCAAAGUCUCAUCUGAGGCAAAGCAUGUCUCUUCCUCCUAUGAUCUUGUAAAAUAAAAAGCAAGUUAGUUGCUUCCAAGAUAAAAUGUGGGUGCUGGCAUUGAGUAAAUGCUCCAAAAUUGGCCAAAACAAAGGGGCCAUAGGCCCCAUGCAAGUACAAAACUCAUCGGGGCACUCAUUAAAUCUUAAUGCUCCAGAACAAUCUCAUUUGACUCCAUGUCUCAAAUCCAGGGUAUGCUGAUGCAAGGGAUGGUCUCCCCGGGCCUUGGGCAGCUCUGCUCCUGUGCCUCUGCAGGAUACAGCCCCUGCAGCUGCUUUCAUGGGCUGGCAUUGAGCCCCUGCACUUCUCCUGAUGCACAGUGCAAGUUGUUGAUGGAGCUACCAUUCUGGGGGGUAUGGAGGUCAGUGGCUCUUUUGUCACAGCUCCACUAGGCAGUGACCCAGUGGGGACUCUAUGUGGGGGCUCCAACCCCACAUUUCCUCUUUGCAUUGCCCUAGUAGAGGUAUUCCAUGAAGGCUCUGCCCCUGCAGCAAACUUCUGCCUGGGCAUCCAGGCAUUUCCAUAUGUCCUCUGAAAUCUAGGUGGAGGCUUCCAAAGUUUAACUCAUGUCUUCUGUUUACCUGCAGGCCCAACACUGUGUGGAAGCUGCCAAGGCUUGGGGCAUGCACCCUCUGAAGCAAUGACCUGAGCUGUAUCUUGGCCUCUUUUAGCUACAGCUGGAGCUGGAGCAGCUGAGACCCAUGUUGCAAGGAAGAGAGACAAGAUUAUACCUGUCUGAGUAAAAUAAGGGGGAUUUAUGGAGAAAGUCUCAUGUGAUCUAUGGAAGACCUGAGCAUCUAGGAACCAAAGGAGGAAGAAUCAGGCAAUCAAACUUAGUGCAGAUCGGAGACCACCUUUCAUCUGACUCUGCUGUUGCCGGGACUUAGAAUCUACUUCCCAGUGUCUAGAGAUCCCAGGUCAUGUCCUAGAAACUUGAGAGAGAGUCCAACUGAUCAAGCUUUGUCUAAUCAACUAUUUUGAUCCAAUUAACUACUUUGAUCUAAUCAACUAGGACGAUGCAUGAGAAUCAUGAAACUCAAACAUGACUCCUGAAGUCCUGCCCUGUGCAUCUAUAGCUGAUCAAAGAAAAGAUCAAAUGGGCAAACAACCCUCAAAAUUUGUUUUCUCAGACUAUAUUCACGUACUUUACCUUCUGCCUGCAUGGUGUUCUUAUUCCCUGGAAAAAUCAUUUGUAUUCUUUAAGCCUAACCGCAAAUGAAGACUUCACAGAUUCUACAAACCAGAUCAUCUCUCUCCUGUAAGUUAUCAUUCUUUCUCAUUUUUUUAUUGAGAGAUAAUUCACAUACAAUAAAAUUUACCUUUUAAAAACAUGCAGUUAAGGCCGGGCAUGGUGGCUCACCCCUGUAAUCCCAGACUUUGGGAGGCCAAGCCAGGCAGAUCACGAGGUCAGGAGAUCGAGAUCAAGACCAUCCUGGCUAACACAGUGAAACCCUGUCUCUACUAAAAAUACAAAAACUUAGCCAAGCGUAGUGGCACGUGCCUGUAGUCCCAGCUCCUCAGGAGGCUGAGGUAGGAGAAUCAUUUGAAACCAGGAGGCUGAGGUUGCAGUGAGCCGAGAUCACACCACUACACUCCAGCCUGGGCGACAGAGCAAGACUCCAUCUCAAAAAAGAAAAAAAAAAAAUAUGCAGCUAAGUGGCUUUAGUAUAUUUUCAGUGUUGUACAACCAUCACCACUAUCUAAUGCCAGAAUAUUUUCAUUACCCAUAAAAGGAACCCUACCCAUGAAUAGUCACUCCUAUGCCCAGGGCCCCUGGCAACCACAAAUCUCUUUCUUUCUCUAUGAUCUUUGCUUGCUCUGGAUUUUUAUAUUAAUAUAAUGGAAUCAUACAAUAUGUGUCCUUUUCUGUCUGGGUUUAUUCACUUAACAUAAUAUUUUCAUGGUUUCUCUUGCAACAUGGAUCAGAACUUUAUAUCUUUUUUGGCCAAAUAUCAUUCCAUUAUAUGGAAAGACCACACUGUGUUUAUCCAAUCAUCAUUUGAUGGACAUUUGGAUUAUUUCCACUUUUUAGCUAUUACGAAUAAUGCUAUUAUAAUUAUUCCUGAACAAGUUAUUGUGUAGACAUACAUCUUUAAGUCUCUUGAGUAUACACUUAGGAAUAAAAUUAUUGGGUCAUAUGAUAACUCUCUGUUUAACUUUCUGAGCAACUGCCAAAAUAUUUUCCAAAGUAGUCACACCAUUUUAUGUCCCCCCGAAUAAUAAGCAAGGUGUUAAUUUUAUCCAAAUUCUCAUCAAAAUAUUAUUUCAUAUAUAUCUAUAUAUACUUAUCUAUCCAUCUAUAUCAAUAUAUCAGAUUAGUAUUAUUCUCAUAGCCAUCCUAGUGGGUUUGAAGUGCUCUCUUACCACGAUUUUUAUUUGUUUCUCUAAUGGCUAAUGAUGGUGCAUAUCUAUCUGCCCUAGUGGUUUUCAUAAUGUUGCUACUUAAGAAUUUGACUUUUUUCUUCAUUUCCUCAACUAAAACUAUCCCCUAUUGCUUGCAGCUGAAUUUUAAUUCCCUUCAUAUUGUCUGCAGAUCUGAGUAUGAUGCCUGUUAUUGUUUAAAUUAUCAUCAGUGGCUGGGUACAGUAUCUCAUCCUUGUAAUCCCAGCUCUUUGGGAGGCCAAGGUGGGCGGAUCACUUGAGCCCAGGAGUUUGAAACCUGGCUGGGCAAUAUAGUGAGACUUCAUCUCUAAAAAAAUUUAAAAAAUAAAAUAGCGGGGCCUAGUGGUGUACACUUUGUAGUCCCAGCUACUCAAGAGGCUGACGCAGGAGGAUCACUCGAGCCCGGAAGGCAGAGAUUGCAAUAAGCCAAGAUCAUGACACUGCACGCUAACCUGGGAGACAGAAUGAGACCUUGUUCAAUAAAUAAAUAAAUAACUUAAUUAAUUAAUUAAUUAACAUUUUUGAAAUAAUUUGUUCUUUAAAUGUUAAAAAUAAUAUUGCAUAAUAACUUUUACUGAGUUUUAUGAAAUCAGGGUUGUCAUUAUCAUCUAAUGUUUCUCUAAGAGCCCAAAUUCAUUGAUCUACUUCUACAAGUUGAACCACACUAGGGCAGUCUUACUGUUGCAACAUUAAUGCCUUUAUUUUACUCAGCAACUAGCAGAUGCCUUAAAGACUUUAUCAUUAAUUUUCCUAGUGACUUUUUGUGUAGAGAUUGUUAUCCUCAUUUUAAAGAAUUGGGAACCAAGGCAUAGAGACCAUGACAUGUACCAAAAAUUCCAUCAGUUCUGCCAUGUCUACCAGCCCCUUUGUGGUCAGGGACAAUGGAAUGCAGGCAAGGGUGACUUGUAUCACAUCCAGGUCCAAGCAGCGAAUAAAUAGCACACAAUCCCUCAUGUAUCCCCUCUUUUAGGGCAACAACCAGG